rnacentral:rRNA from 1 species
AUGGAUCUUGGUGAAACGGUAGGAAAUUUUUUGUUUUCUACAACGUUCCCCAACACCUUUGAGGUGGGUAGCAUGGACCGGGGCGAAUUCUUCGUUAGUAUGGAGAUCUUCGAGCGUGCCCUGAACUUCAAAUGGGAGGUCAUAAUUGUAUACGGACCCGCGGACCACCGGUGCUCCCCGACCUUCUUAGCAGAGCUACAGCUGAAUAUCUCUAACUCCCUCCUCCCAGUUCUCGUGGGCGGAGACAUUAACCUCAUCCGAUCCCCGGAUGAGAAGAAUAAUGAUCGGAUUAACUUCCCCCGGAUGCAGUUAUUCAACGAUUGGAUCGCAGAGCUGGGGCUCCGCGAGCUUGAUCGGACGGGGGCCAGGUUCACCUGGACGAACUGGCAGAUUGACCCGACACAAUCCGUCUUGGAUCAUGUCCUAGUUUCCCCGGAAUGGGAAUUACGCUGCCCCCUGGCCUCGCUCCGGGCUGUCACCCGGAUCGGGUCUGACCAUGUCCCCCUCCUCUCCACCGCCGACGAGCUGUCUUCCACCCCGCCGCAAUUCCGGUUCGAGCCCUUCUGGCUCAAUCAGGCCAGCUUCCGGGAGGCUGUCGUCGCUCGCUGGAUUUCCGCUCGCUCUGCACCCCAUCGCUCCAUGUCUGUUGUGGACUCGUGGCACUUCUGCGCCAAGCUCGCCCGCCAAUUCAUGAAGGGUUGGGGGGCUAACCUUGGCCGGGACCUUAAAGAUCGCAAAAAGGCCCUAUUGUCGGCUACCCAAGCCUUGGACGCCCGCGCCGACUCGACCGGGAUCUCCCCAGAUGAGUGGAUGUUGCAAUACGACCUUGAAGACCAGCUCUCCACCAUCUACACCGAUGAAGAGGCCUACUGGCGCUUGCGCGGUACCCAACGGUGGGUGCUUCGGGGUGAUGCCAACACCGCCUAUUUCCAGGCGGUGGCGAACGGCCGGCGUCGUCGCAAUUCCAUCCACUGCCUGUGGGAUGGCGGCAUGCCUAUCGUUCUCCCCUCGGCCAUCCGUACCCAUAUAGACGGCUUCUAUAAAGCCCUAUUUAAUCACCCCCACCCCGCAGGGUGGGACCAGUCUUGCCCCCGACACUUGGUCGGGUACGCAAUUGGUCUCGGCUGA